rnacentral:rRNA from 1 species
UGGCGGCAGGCUUAACACAUGCAAGUCGAGCGCCCCGCAAGGGGAGCGGCAGACGGGUGAGUAACGCGUGGGAAUCUACCGAGCCCUACGGAAUAACGCAUGGAAACGUGUGCUAAUACCGUAUACGCCCUACGGGGGAAAGAUUUAUCGGGGUUUGAUGAGCCCGCGUUGGAUUAGCUAGUUGGUGGGGUAAAGGCCUACCAAGGCGACGAUCCAUAGCUGGUCUGAGAGGAUGAUCAGCCACAUUGGGACUGAGACACGGCCCAAACUCCUACGGGAGGCAGCAGUGGGGAAUAUUGGACAAUGGGCGCAAGCCUGAUCCAGCCAUGCCGCGUGAGUGAUGAAGGUCUUAGGAUUGUAAAGCUCUUUCACCGGAGAAGAUAAUGACGGUAUCCGGAGAAGAAGCCCCGGCUAACUUCGUGCCAGCAGCCGCGGUAAUACGAAGGGUGCAAGCGUUAAUCGGAAUUACUGGGCGUAAAGCGCGCGUAGGUGGUUCAGCAAGUUGGAUGUGAAAGCCCUGGGCUCAACCUGGGAACUGCAUCCAAAACUACUGAGCUAGAGUACGGUAGAGGGUAGUGGAAUUUCCUGUGUAGCGGUGAAAUGCGUAGAUAUAGGAAGGAACACCAGUGGCGAAGGCGACUACCUGGACUGAUACUGACACUGAGGUGCGAAAGCGUGGGGAGCAAACAGGAUUAGAUACCCUGGUAGUCCACGCCGUAAACGAUGUCGACUAGCCGUUGGGAUCCUUGAGAUCUUAGUGGCGCAGCUUACGCAUUAAGUCGACCGCCU